rnacentral:lncRNA from 1 species
UGACAAAUUUGAGAUGAAAAAAAGCGCUGUUCCUUUGCAUUUUUGUGUGUUAUAUGCUGCCAAUGUACUGGUAUUGUGUCAUGAAUGGAUAUCCUUUAUCCUUUGCUUUUCCAUCAACUAAAUCCUACGUAAGGAUAUAAUAAAAAGAAACACUUGGCUAGGUUCUGAUUAUUCAUAAACCAACAAGCAAAAAAAUGAUUAGAUUAAAUAUAGGCAGGGAUAAAAAAAAGAACUUGAUACCCAACUAGGAAAACUAUCUUUGAUUAUUCAUAAACAAACUAUGAAAACAUAAUUAAAAACAUUAUAAACAGUGGUAUAAAAAAGAACCAACUGACUUGGUUCCUGACAAGUCAAUAUCUGUCUGCUCAUUCAUAAACUAACACGAAAAAAACUAUGUAAAUAACGUAUAGACAGGGAUACGAAAAAAGAACAAACUGACUUUGUUCCUGCCUAAGCAAAAUGUGUCUGAUUAUUCUUAAACCAACGAGCGAAACAUGAUUCAAGUGCUUUUUUUGUAUUUUUUUCUGCCAAUGUACCGAUUUUGUGGCACGGAUGACUGAUAUCCCAUAUCGCAAGUUUUUCACUCAACUUAAUAAUUUGCAAGGCUUCGAUAAAAAGAACCAAUUAACUUGAUUCCCUACUAAGCAUAAUAUAUCUAUUCAUGAAUAAAGAAACCAAAAAAAUAUUAGAUAAACGAGCAAGUCUAUAAAAAAAAAACCAACAGACUUGAAACCUGAGUAGGCACUAUCUCUCUGUUUUCAAUUAAACAAACAAACAAAAAAUAGUUAGAUAUAUAUUAAUAUAUAUAUAAAAAGAAACAACUGACUUGGUUCUUGACUAGGCGAACAUCCUUUGAUUAUUCAGUAACAAACAAGCAAACAACAAUUAAAUAAGAAAUAAAGAGGAAUAAAAAAGAAUUAACUGACUUGGUUCCUGACUAGGCAAUAUUUGUCUGGUUAUUCAUAAGCCAACAAAAAAGAAAUAAAAGUGUUGUUCUUUGACAUUUUGUUUGUUUAAUGCUGCCUAUGUUCUAACGGAUACCCUAUAUCGGGGCUAUCCUUUAUUUUUCUAUCAACUUAAUCAUAUUUAAGGAUAUAAUUAAAAAAAAAACACACUUCACUUAGUCCCUUUCUAUGCAAUUCCCUCUGAUUAAUCAUAAAUCAACUGGCUAAAAAAAAGUUGACAAAAUAUAAGCAAAGCUAUAAAAAAAAGAACCACGUUACAUAGUUUCUAAGAAAAAAAUCUUUCAUAAGUUAUAAACCAGCAAUGAAAAAAUUAAAUACAAAUAUAGGCAGAAAUAUAGGCAGGAAUAUAGUCAAGUUUAUAAAAAAUAAACAACUGACUUGGUUUCUCACUAGGCAAAAUCUCAUUAUUCAUAAACCUACAAGCAAAAUAUUUUAAUCAAAUGUAAACAAGGA